AGAAACUAACAAGGAUUCCCCUAGUAACGGCGAGUGAAGCGGGAAGAGCUCAAAUUUGAAAUCUGGUGGACUCAGUCCAUCCGAGUUGUAAUCUAUAGAAACGUUUUCCGCGUCGGCCCAUGUACAAGUCCCUUGGAACAGGGCGUCAUAGAGGGUGAGAAUCCCGUCCUUGACAUGGACCACCGGUGCUAUGUGAUACGUUCUCAACGAGUCGAGUUGUUUGGGAAUGCAGCUCAAAAUGGGUGGUAAAUUCCAUCUAAAGCUAAAUAUUGGCGAGAGACCGAUAGCGAACAAGUACCGUGAGGGAAAGAUGAAAAGCACUUUGGAAAGAGAGUUAAACAGUAUGUGAAAUUGUUGAAAGGGAAACGAUUGAAGUCAGUCAUGUCCUUGGGAUUCAGCCUGUUCUGCAGGUGUACUUCCCUUGGAUGGGGUCAACAUCAGUUUUGACCGCUGGAUAAAGGUUUGAGCAAUGUAGCACUCUCGGGUGAACUUAUAGGCUCUUGUCGCA
rnacentral:rRNA from 1 species